rnacentral:rRNA from 1 species
AUGGAGUCGCAGACCAUCCGCCACAUGAUCGAGGACGACUGCGCCGACAACGGGAUCCCGCUUCCCAACGUCGACUCCAAGAUCCUCGCCAAGGUCAUCGAGUACUGCAAGAAGCACGUCCAGGCCAGCACCAAUCCGGCUGACUCUGGCGCCGCCGACGCAAACUCCUCCACCUCUACUGCCCCCGCCGAGGACCUCAAGAGCUUUGACGCCGAGUUCGUCAAGGUCGACCAGGCCACCCUCUUUGACUUCAUCCUGGCUGCAAACUACCUCAACAUCAAGGGAUUGCUCGACCUUACUUGCCAGACUGUUGCAGACAUGAUCAAGGGCAAGACCCCGGAGGAGAUCCGCAAGACUUUUAACAUCAAGAAUGACUUCACACCCGAGGAGGAGGCGGAGAUCCGCAGGGAGAACCAGUGGGCUUUUGAGUAG